UACAGAGGUCUCAAGCGUUGUCCGGAAUCAUUGGGCGUAAAGCGCGCGUAGGCGGCCCUGUAAGUCCGUUGUGAAAGUCAAAGGCUCAACCUUUGAAAGCCGAUGGAUACUGCAGGGCUAGAGUCCGGGAAGAGGCGAGUGGAAUUCCUGGUGUAGCGGUGGAAUGCGCAGAUAUCAGGAGGAACACCAAUAGCGAAGGCAGCUCGCUGGGACGGUACUGACGCUAAGGCGCGAAAGCGUGGGGAGCGAACGAGG
rnacentral:rRNA from 1 species